rnacentral:rRNA from 1 species
CACGCUGUAAACGUUGUAUACUAGGUGUAGGUGAUUUAUCACCUGUGCCGCAGCUAACGCAUUAAGUAUACCGCCUGGGGAGUACGGCCGCAAGGCUUAAACUCAAAGAAAUUGACGGGGGCCCGCACAAGCGGUGGAGCAUGUGGUUUAAUUCGAUGAUACGCGAAGAACCUUACCUGGGCUUGAACUGUGCAUGACAGGUAUAGAGAUAUACCCUUCUUCGGACAUGUACAGAGGUGC